CACGUAGGGUGCGAGCGUUGUCCGGAAUUAUUGGGCGUAAAGAGCUCGUAGGCGGUGUGUCGCGUCGGCCGUGAAAACCUGCAGCUUAACUGUGGGCUUGCGGUCGAUACGGGCAUCACUGGAGUUCGGCAGGGGAGACUGGAAUUCCUGGUGUAGCGGUGAAAUGCGCAGAUAUCAGGAGGAACACCAAUGGCGAAAGCAGGUACCUGGACCAUUACUGACACUCAGCUGCGAAAGCUAGGGGAGCAAACAGG
rnacentral:rRNA from 1 species